rnacentral:lncRNA from 1 species
AUCCAGCCUGGAGCCGAGUGCUACUUCAGCGUUACUUCCCAAAGUCAGCACCAGAUCGUCUGCCACAAGCCAGACCCUCUAAGUCCUUUCUACACACAGUUCCCGAGCCUCCUGGGCAUGUUCCUUCACAUGAAGGAGUAAUGAACAGAACUCGGUCAACUGCAGAUAAGACUCAUCAAAGUAGAACUUCUGAGACAAAUUGUGUAGAUGUGUUUAAAGUCUGACGCAUUUUGUCCAUCUCUUCAUUUUACAGAGGAGGAAACUGAGGAACAGAGAUGGUGAUCUUCCACGUGGGCCUUUCUCAGAAACGGCUGCCUCGGCCCCAAGAACCACGGUGACAGGCCUGCUCUGGGGUUAGCUCAGGAGUGUUUCAAGAAGGCAAAGACUGUAAAAACAGGUGCAAGGUUUAUUGUUAGAAGCACAGGACACCACACGGGAGAAGACAUGGAGAAGGGUCUCUUUGGCUAAGGCAGAAGCAAAGCGGUGACACACCCAGAGGAGAGGCGAGCGUUCCGGCGACCAUACCCACUAGACAAGGUUUUCCAGGCUCAGCGUCCAAUUGGAGCUAUAGCCGCUGGCUUUGCUGCAGCAACAUCAACACCCGAUCUGAGCUGCAUCUGUGACCUACACCACAGGUCCUGGCAACGCUGGAUCCUUAACCCCCCUGAGCAAGGCCAAGGAUCAAACCUGCGUCCUCCUGGAUCCUAGUCAGGGACUGGUCCUAAGAACUGGAUUCUAUUAAAGAGGGGAAAAAAUAUUUCAAAGCUCCCAUUAGUUCUUUUGCAGGAGCGGGACCCAGAGUAAAUGCCCUCUGUUUGGCAGAAUGAAUGCUCAUAACCUACCUGAGGUCACAGGACUGGAAAGGGACAUCAAUCUUGGAUUCAAGCCCUCGCUUCAUGUAUCCCACUUUUUCUCCAAGAAAUAAUCGCUAAUAUUUAUUGCAUCCUCACUAUAUGUUCAGCCUGUGCUCUGCUUGGUCACAGACGACUCUUCGCAUUUUACAGCUGAGACUCAAGCUUAGAGAGGUGACAAAACUUAGUGAAGAUCAGAGAGCAACCAACAGAUAGAGCCGAGAUCCUGUGGUAUAUAGCACUAGGAACUACGGCUAAUCACUUGUAGUGAAUCUAUACAUGUAUGUGGAACUGGGUCACCAUGCUGUGCAGUAGAAAAUUGACAGAACACUGUAAACCAGCUAUAAUAGAAAAAAAUCAUCAUUU